AUGCCUUGGGGGAAGGAAUCAAAAGGGUAUGUAAUAUGUAUGAUAUAUAGCUUAGCUCUAGGCAGGCAAAAGAAUGUUGUGCUUUUAAUUUGGGAUGUGAGAGCCCCUUUGACUUAAAACUUCAAACUUGUUUUAAAAGAAUUCUGUUUUGUUUAAUUCUGUCAUAAUUUAUUAAUUAAUGAAUGGCCAAUGACUUGAAUGCUGCAGAAAGGAAUUUAAUGAAGUUUGGUGAGAGGCUUUCUUCUGUUCUUCAAAGCUACAGAGAUGUUGAUAUAUCACACUAGUCUUUUACUGUAUAUCCUGAGAUACCCUUAGUAAAUGCAUGUCCUGUUAAAAUCCCCCUCUCAUUAGCCCUCUUUGUAUUUCUCUUCAAAAGAUAUAUAUAUAUAUAUCACCAUAAUCCCCCAUUCCUUUUGCCUCUUUAUCUCCCUCUCCCAAAGGUUGCCUUUGUAUGUGCUUUUGUGGGUUUUCUUGUAUAUUUGUCUUUGUUCUCUUCUGGGUUUCUCUGGUUUAUAUAUGGUUCCCAAGUUUUCCUCUCAUCAGUGAAUUCAACAGCUAUAUAUAGCUAGUAGCAGUGACUGUGUUGCAAUGAGAUUGGCUGAGAUUACACUUUUGUGCCUCUUGGUUUUGGCUUGUAUUAGAUCAAAUGCAGUUGCAAGGUCCAGCUUUUUCACUACUUUUGAUCAUCAUCAUCAUCAUCAUCAUGAUGUUGGAAAGAGGAUGAAGAGCUCAUCAUCAAAUGGAAGAGUGCCAGAAGCAGCAAAUUUCAGCCAGUACUGCAAGUCAAAGGGGCACCAGUUUUAUGAUUAUUUUUUUCACUCUAACUCUAAGAACACCACCUCAGAAAACAAAAGGGUUGUUCCCACUGGUCCCAAUCCCUUACAUAACAGGUAA
rnacentral:lncRNA from 1 species